GGAUGAACGCUAGCUACAGGCUUAACACAUGCAAGUCGAGGGGAAACGACAUCGAAAGCUUGCUUUUGAUGGGCGUCGACCGGCGCACGGGUGAGUAACGCGUAUCCAACCUGCCCACCACUUGGGGAUAACCUUGCGAAAGUAAGACUAAUACCCAAUGACGUCUCUAGAAGACAUCUGAAAGAGAUUAAAGAUUUAUCGGUGAUGGAUGGGGAUGCGUCUGAUUAGCUUGUUGGCGGGGUAACGGCCCACCAAGGCAACGAUCAGUAGGGGUUCUGAGAGGAAGGUCCCCCACAUUGGAACUGAGACACGGUCCAAACUCCUACGGGAGGCAGCAGUGAGGAAUAUUGGUCAAUGGACGAGAGUCUGAACCAGCCAAGUAGCGUGCAGGAUGACGGCCCUAUGGGUUGUAAACUGCUUUUAUAAGGGAAUAAAGUGAGUCUCGUGAGACUUUUUGCAUGUACCUUAUGAAUAAGGACCGGCUAAUUCCGUGCCAGCAGCCGCGGUAAUACGGAAGGUCCGGGCGUUAUCCGGAUUUAUUGGGUUUAAAGGGAGCGUAGGCCGGAGAUUAAGCGUGUUGUGAAAUGUAGACGCUCAACGUCUGCACUGCAGCGCGAACUGGUUUCCUUGAGUACGCACAAAGUGGGCGGAAUUCGUGGUGUAGCGGUGAAAUGCUUAGAUAUCACGAAGAACUCCGAUUGCGAAGGCAGCUCACUGGAGCGCAACUGACGCUGAAGCUCGAAAGUGCGGGUAUCGAACAGGAUUAGAUACCCUGGUAGUCCGCACGGUAAACGAUGGAUGCCCGCUGUUGGUCUGAAUAGGUCAGCGGCCAAGCGAAAGCAUUAAGCAUCCCACCUGGGGAGUACGCCGGCAACGGUGAAACUCAAAGGAAUUGACG
rnacentral:rRNA from 1 species